AGCAGCAGCCACGGUAAUACGAAGGGUGCAAGCGUUAAUCGGAAUUACUGGGCGUAAAGCGUGCGUAGGCGGUGAGUUAAGUCCGCUGUGAAAUCCCCGGGCUCAACCUGGGAAUGGCAGUGGAUACUGGCUCGCUAGAGUGUGUCAGAGGAUGGUGGAAUUCCCGGUGUAGCGGUGAAAUGCGUAGAGAUCGGGAGGAACAUCAGUGGCGAAGGCGGCCAUCUGGGACAACACUGACGCUGAGGCACGAAAGCGUGGGGAGCAAACAGGAUUAGAUACCCGAGUAGUCCCUGUCUCUUAUAA
rnacentral:rRNA from 1 species